UGCAAGUCGAGCGGACAGAAGGGAGCUUGCUCCCGGAUGUUAGCGGCGGACGGGUGAGUAACACGUGGGUAACCUGCCUGUAAGACUGGGAUAACUCCGGGAAACCGGAGCUAAUACCGGAUAGUUCCUUGAACCGCAUGGUUCAAGGAUGAAAGACGGUUUCGGCUGUCACUUACAGAUGGACCCGCGGCGCAUUAGCUAGUUGGUGGGGUAAUGGCUCACCAAGGCGACGAUGCGUAGCCGACCUGAGAGGGUGAUCGGCCACACUGGGACUGAGACACGGCCCAGACUCCUACGGGAGGCAGCAGUAGGGAAUCUUCCGCAAUGGACGAAAGUCUGACGGAGCAACGCCGCGUGAGUGAUGAAGGUUUUCGGAUCGUAAAGCUCUGUUGUUAGGGAAGAACAAGUGCGAGAGUAACUGCUCGCACCUUGACGGUACCUAACCAGAAAGCCACGGCUAACUACGUGCCAGCAGCCGCGGUAAUACGUAGGUGGCAAGCGUUGUCCGGAAUUAUUGGGCGUAAAGGGCUCGCAGGCGGUUUCUUAAGUCUGAUGUGAAAGCCCCCGGCUCAACCGGGGAGGGUCAUUGGAAACUGGGAAACUUGAGUGCAGAAGAGGAGAGUGGAAUUCCACGUGUAGCGGUGAAAUGCGUAGAGAUGUGGAGGAACACCAGUGGCGAAGGCGACUCUCUGGUCUGUAACUGACGCUGAGGAGCGAAAGCGUGGGGAGCGAACAGGAUUAGAUACCCUGGUAGUCCACGCCGUAAACGAUGAGUGCUAAGUGUUAGGGGGUUUCCGCCCCUUAGUGCUGCAGCUAACGCAUUAAGCACUCCGCCUGGGGAGUACGGUCGCAAGACUGAAACUCAAAGGAAUUGACGGGGGCCCGCACAAGCGGUGGAGCAUGUGGUUUA
rnacentral:rRNA from 1 species